UACGAAGGGGGCUAGCGUUGCUCGGAAUGACUGGGCGUAAAGGGCGCGUAGGCGGUUUGCACAGUCAGAUGUGAAAUUCCUGGGCUCAACCUGGGGGCUGCAUUUGAUACGUGCGGACUAGAGUGGGGAAGAGGGUCGUGGAAUUCCCAGUGUAGAGGUGAAAUUCGUAGAUAUUCGGAAGAACACCAGUGGCGAAGGCGACUUACUGGACACAUAUUGACGCUGAGGUGCGAAAGCGUGGGGAGCAAACAGG
rnacentral:rRNA from 1 species